GCAGCUCUCCGGCACGUCGAGGACUGCGCGCUGCGGCUUCGCCUGCUCCGGCUCCUGCACCGGAUUCCUGACGGACGGCACCCGCACGGCUUGCGGCCGCUCUUUGGCAGCUGAGUCACUCGCCGUCCUCUCCGACACGCACUGCCGAAGGAGUACUCGGCCAUCGACUUAACGUGCUCGUUGUACUUGAGCAUGACGAAAAGCAAGACCGAGAAGAGGAAGACGAAGACGAAGACGGGGUUCCUGCCGCUCCUCCGGCCUCCGUACAACAGCGAGCGCUUCAUCGUGAGGAGGCUUCCGUGAGAGGGCGAUCGCAUCUCACGUGGGAGCUUAUCGUGCUGCAGAGGAAGGAGGAAGUGGCGUGAAUCGGUGGGAGAAGAAAGGAGAGAGCCGCAUGAAUUCAAGAUUGCACAUGCAAUAACUUGUUCUGUUUGUUCGGAGUAAUUAUUCUCUCCCAACGCCAAAUGUGGUAAAAGUUCAACAAGUAGAUUUAGCUCACA